AUUGAACGCUGGCGGCAGGCCUAACACAUGCAAGUCGAGCGGAUGACGGGAGCUUGCUCCUUGAUUCAGCGGCGGACGGGUGAGUAAUGCCUAGGAAUCUGCCUGGUAGUGGGGGACAACGUUUCGAAAGGAACGCUAAUACCGCAUACGUCCUACGGGAGAAAGCAGGGGACCUUUGGGCCUUGCGCUAUCAGAUGAGCCUAGGUCGGAUUAGCUAGUAGGUGAGGUAAUGGCUCACCUAGGCGACGAUCCGUAACUGGUCUGAGAGGAUGAUCAGUCACACUGGAACUGAGACACGGUCCAGACUCCUACGGGAGGCAGCAGUGGGGAAUAUUGGACAAUGGGCGAAAGCCUGAUCCAGCCAUGCCGCGUGUGUGAAGAAGGUCUUCGGAUUGUAAAGCACUUUAAGUUGGGAGGAAGGGCAGUAAGUUAAUACCUUGCUGUUUUGACGUUACCGACAGAAUAAGCACCGGCUAACUCUGUGCCAGCAGCCGCCAUAAAAC
rnacentral:rRNA from 1 species